rnacentral:tRNA from 1 species
GCUCGGGUGGUGGAAUGGUAGACACGGGGGUCUUAGAAGCCCUUGCCGAAAGGCGUGAAGGUUCGAGUCCUUUCCCGAGCACCA